AGCUCGUUGGCUCAGUGGUUAGAGGAUGGUGCUCAUACCACCAAGGUCGUGGGUUCGAUUCCCACAUGGGCCA